rnacentral:tRNA from 1 species
CGCUACGCACGCCUGCAUCAACACGCCCGUGCGCUAUUUUUUUUUUUUACAGUCGUAUCUACUGUGAUAAGAAAGCGCUCUUAGUUCAGUUCGGUAGAACGUGGGUCUCCAAAACCCGAUGUCGUAGGUUCAAAUCCUACAGAGCGUGAUUCCGUUCUUGUUAGGUUAAGAUCAUGAAAGAGGCGAUCAGAAUGGUACUCAAAUUGGUCGAUGGUGUGAAAACACUUCCUGAUGUCGAAUUCCAAAAACCAGCGAGAGGUUCCCCCUGGGAUUUUAGUUCAAUCGGUCAGAGCACCGCCCUGUCAAGGCGGAAGGACCAACCCAACCGGCGAUUUUUUACAAGUCUUU